GAAGUUAACUGGAUGGUCGCGGGGGCAAGUACCGAAAGGUCGCUCCUGAGGAAAGUCCGGACUCCGUAGGGCAGGGUGCCGGGUAAUACCCGGUGGGGGUGACCCUAAGGAAAGUGCAACAGAAAUAUACCGCCGGGCAUUUACUUUUGUAAGUGUCAGGUAAGGGUGGAAAGGUGAGGUAAGAGCUCACCGGCAGUCAGGUAACUGGCUGGCCCUGCAAACCCCACCCGGAGCAAGACCAAAUAGAGGAACGAUAGAGUGGCCCGCUCUGUUCCCGGGUAAGGUCGCUUGAGGCUGUUGGUGACGACAGUCCUAGAUAGAUGACCAUCGCUUGUAAAAGUACAGAAUCCGGCUUAUAGGUUAACUUCGCUU
rnacentral:RNase_P_RNA from 1 species